GAUGAACGCUGGCGGCGUGCCUAAUACAUGCAAGUCGAGCGAACAGACGAGGAGCUUGCUCCUCUGACGUUAGCGGCGGACGGGUGAGUAACACGUAGAUAACCUACCUAUAAGACUGGGAUAACUUCGGGAAACCGGAGCUAAUACCGGAUCAUAUAUUGAACCGCAUGGUUCAAUAGUGAAAGACGGUUUUGCUGUCACUUAUAGAUGGUUCCGCGCCGCAUUAGCUAGUUGGUAAGGUAACGGCUUACCAAGGCAACGAUGCGUAGCCGACCUGAGAGGGUGAUCGGCCACACUGGAACUGAGACACGGUCCAGACUCCUACGGGAGGCAGCAGUAGGGAAUCUUCCGCAAUGGGCGAAAGCCUGACGGAGCAACGCCGCGUGAGUGAUGAAGGUCUUCGGAUCGUAAAACUCUGUUAUUAGGGAAGAACAAAUGUGUAAGUAACUAUGCACGUCUUGACGGUACCUAAUCAGAAAGCCACGGCUAACUACGUG
rnacentral:rRNA from 1 species